rnacentral:rRNA from 1 species
GAUGAACGCUGGCGGCGUGCCUAAUACAUGCAAGUCGAGCGAACAGACGAGGAGCUUGCUCCUCUGACGUUAGCGGCGGACGGGUGAGUAACACGUGGAUAACCUACCUAUAAGACUGGGAUAACUUCGGGAAACCGGAGCUAAUACCGGAUAAUAUAUUGAACCGCAUGGUUCAAUAGUGAAAGACGGUUUUGCUGUCACUUAUAGAUGGAUCCGCGCCGCAUUAGCUAGUUGGUAAGGUAACGGCUUACCAAGGCGACGAUGCGUAGCCGACCUGAGAGGGUGGUCGGCCACACUGGAACUGAGACGCGGUCAAGACUCCUACGGGAGGCAGCAGUAGGUAAUCUUCCGCAAUGGGCGAAAGCCUGACGGAGCAACGCCGCGUGAGUGAUGAAGGUCUUCGGAUCGUAAAACUCUGUUAUUAGGGAAGAACAAAUGUGUAAGUAACUAUGCACGUCUUGACGGUACCUAAACAGAAAGCCACGGCUAACUACGU